UAACGAGCGCAACCCCUACCCUUUAGUUGCCAUCAGGUAAUGCUGGGGACUCUAAAGGAACUGCCUACGCAAGUAGUGAGGAAGGCGGGGAGUGACGUCAAAUCAGCACGGCCCUUACGUCCAGGGCUACACACGUGCUACAAUGGCCGAUACAGAGGGCAGCUACCUGGUGACAGGAUGCAAAUCUCCAAAGUCGGUCUCAGUUCGGAUCGGAGUCUGCAACCCGACUCCGUGAAGUUGGAUUCGCUAGUAAUCGCGCAUCAGCCAUGGCGCGGUGAAUACGUUCCCGGGCCUU
rnacentral:rRNA from 1 species